AAACUUUGCUCAUGCCAAAAAUUAUUCUCAUACUCAGUUAUCAGGGAUACCUUGGCCGAGGGCUAUCCCAAACUGAGUUCGCCAAGGUUAUUAAAAAGUUAUAUACUCAUAAAUCAUGUUUUUAUUUAAAAAAUAUAGUCGUUCUUUGGCGUUGGCUGAGUUCGCCCUCACGUAGUGGUUUGGUGUGAAGUGAACUCUAAAAGUUAUACCUCGGGAGUUACCCUACUCGCCUCUCCAACCGAGGUAAAAUAUGUUAGGAUUUCGUGCCCCUCUAAUAGGCUAGUCC
rnacentral:lncRNA from 1 species